GGGAGCUCGGGGGGUGCGCCGCUCCCUCACUGCCCGCUCCCGGUCCCCACUGCCCGUGGGGGGGACGCGCUCCCCGCGCUCGGGCGGCUGCUCCAUCCUGCUUGAGUGUCCCGCGGGGCUUCCCGCCGCGCCGCCUCUCCGGGACAUCCCGGGUGAUGGAGCUUCACCGGGGAGCUGCGGGGGCUGCGGGGAGGCGCUGAGGGGUGGAUCUCGGUCGGGCCUUGCCACAGGGCGAUGAUAGCAGCCCUCCAGGUUAAGCCAAAAGCAAAAGGGCUUUCGAGGUGGUUUUUGUUUUGCUUGCAGUGUGCUGUGGAACCUGCCGGCAUGGGUGGUGGCCUUAGGCAGCAGUGUGUUAGCGAACAGUCCUUGGCUGCUCGAUGAGGCGGUGCUGAGCCUGAGCUUCCAGCUCAUAAGGUUUCUGAACAGGUUUCCUUGCCGUGGCUGCCAUGAGCUGGGAUGAUGUGACAGGGGAGGGAUCGCUUCGUGCCUCCUCCCUCUCAGCUGAGCACCGGCUAGUGCAGGCAAGAGGUCUACAGAGAUGUCCUUGUGGUUUCUGGUGAUAGAUUCAGUGGCAUUUUCAAGGUGAAGGAAUCCAGAUACCAGUAACUAAUGACUGAUCAUUAAAACAUCUGUACACCAAUAAUGCUGUCUGGAGCAAAGAGGGAUCUGUGGCUUCUGAAAGCUGUCCAUCUUUCAGCUGGAGUGGAAAAGUUCAUGCCUUUCAACAAGAAGAGCUUAGGAGAGAUGAGCAAGCAGAAUGCAGUACGUGGAAAAGGAGAACACUAGAAUGCAAUGUAGCUGAAAUAGAAAAGCUCCGAGAGUGAUAAGCUUAA
rnacentral:lncRNA from 1 species